CCUACGGGAGGCAGCAGUGAGGAAUAUUGGUCAAUGGGCGCGAGUCUGAACCAGCCAAGUAGCGUGCAGGAUGACUGCCCUAUGGGUUGUAAACUUCUUUUAUAAAGGAAUAAAGUGAGGCACGUGUGCCUUUUUGUAUGUACUUUAUGAAUAAGGAUCGGCUAACUCCGUGCCAGCAGCCGCGGUAAUACGGAGGAUCCGAGCGUUAUCCGGAUUUAUUGGGUUUAAAGGGAGCGUAGGCGGGCUGUUAAGUCAGUUGUGAAAGUUUGCGGCUCAACCGUGAAAUUGCAGUUGAGACUGGGAGGCUUGAGAACAGUUGAGGUAGGCGGAAUGCGUGGUGUAGCGGUGAAAUGCUUAGAUAUCACGAAGAACGCCGAUUGCGAAGGCAGCAUACUAAACUGCUACUGACGUUGAGGCUCGAAAGUGUGGGUAUCAAACAGGAUUAGAUACCCGAGUAGUC
rnacentral:rRNA from 1 species